GUCCCGCCUGCCCUGUGACUAUAUGUUUAACGGCCGCGGUAUUUUGACCGUGCGAAGGUAGCGCAAUCACUUGUCUUUUAAAUGGAGACCUGUAUGAAUGGCACGACGAGGGCUUAACUGUCUCCUUUCCUAAGUCAAUGAAAUUGAUCUCUCCGUGCAGAAGCGGGGAUAAGUCCAUAAGACGAGAAGACCCUAUGGAGCUUCAGACACUAAAACAGCUCAUGUUAAAAACCCUCACAAAAGAGACUAAACUAGAUGACCCCUGUCCUAAUGUCUUUGGUUGGGGCGACCACUGGGUAACAAAAAACCCCCGCGCGGAACAGAAACACUGUUUCCAGAACCAAGAGCACCUGCUCUAAGUAACAAGACCUUUACGACCUUUAAGAUCCGGCUAAGCCGAUCAACGGACCGAGUUUCCCUA
rnacentral:rRNA from 1 species